rnacentral:rRNA from 1 species
AACGUAGGUACCGAGCGUUAUCCGGAUUUACUGGGCGUAAAGCGCGUUCAGGCGGUUUGGCAAGUCGGGCAUGAAAUCUCUCGGCUCAACCGGGAGAGGUUGUCCGAUACUUCCAGACUUGAGGACAGUAGAGGGUGGUGGAAUUCCGGGUGUAGUGGUGAAAUGCGUAGAUAUCCGGAGGAACACCAGUGGCGAAAGCGGCCACCUGGACUGCACCUGACGCUGACACGCGAAAGCUAGGGGAGCGAACGGG